rnacentral:rRNA from 1 species
GAUGAACGCUGGCGGCAUGCUUAACACGUGCAAGUCGGACGGGAAGUGGUGUUUCCAGUGGCGGCCGGGUGAGUAACGCGUAAGAAACUGCCCUUGGGAGGGGAACAACAACUGGAAACGGUUGCUAAUACCCCGUAGGCUGAGGAGAAAAAGGAGGAAUCCGCGCGAGGAGGGGCUUGCGUCUGAUUAGCUAGUUGGUGAGGUAAUAGCUUACCAAGGCGAUGAUCAGUAGGUGGUCCGAGAGGAUGAUCAGCCACACUGGGACUGAGACACGGCGCAGACUCCUUCGGGCGGCAGCAGUGAGGAAUUUUCCGCAAUGGGCGAAAGCCUGACGGAGCAAUGCCGCGUGGAAGUAGAAGGCCCACGGGUCGUGAACUUCUUUUCUCGGAGAAGAAACAAUGACGUUAUCUGAGGAAUAAGCAUCGGCUAACUCUGUG